UUCCCCAAAUGUUACAUUUUCAUUUACAUCUCACACCUAGACUAGACGUCUGAUUUGCAAUGUAUUUAAAUGGAAGCUGUAGCAAUCUCCCUCGUGAUCCUCUGAAAUCUCAUUCCUGUUAAUGCGCUGAUCUUGACACCUUUGUUUAUGCAAGCGUAUGUUGCAGUCUCUUAUCAGUAAGCAGUUCCAGCCCACAAUCUGCAACCCUCUAUCUGAGUAAAGAACAAUAGAAAAAGAGAAAGGGGGGAGGGAGGUGGCUAACCGUGUACAAAAAUGUAUGUGUUUUUGUGUUUUGCCCGUCUAUUCCAUUUUUUUUUUUUAAACAAGGGAAAACAUGAAUGCGAAGAAAUGGGAAAGUUUUGUAACACCCAGAUUUGCCACGGAACCACUAGAGGAUAUUCAUCUCUCUGCUAAGUGCCGUGCCGUCCCAUCCC